rnacentral:rRNA from 1 species
AGAACACAGGUGCUGCAUGGCUGUCGUCAGCUCGUGUCGUGAGAUGUUGGGUUAAGUCCCGCAACGAGCGCAACCCUUGUCAUUAGUUGCCAUCAUUUAGUUGGGCACUCUAAUGAGACUGCCGGUGACAAACCGGAGGAAGUGGGGAUGACGUCAAGUCCUCAUGGCCCUUAUGGGUAGGGCUUCACACGUCAUACAAUGGCCGGUACAGACGGACGCAAAGCCGCGAGGUGGAGCAAAUCCUAAAAAGCCGGUCUCAGUUCGGAUUGCAGGCUGCAAUUCGCCUGCAUGAAGUCGGAAUCGCUAGUAAUCGCAGGUCAGCAUACUGCGGUGAAUACGUUCCCGGGCCUU